UUGUCAUGGGUAUCAGCACAUAAUGAGAGCCUUUAGUAACUUAAUUAGCAACUCCUAGCAACUUUUCAGGAGGAAUCUUGAAGAAAGAAGACAGCAUCUGCACAUACAUUUGGAAGAAAUCUGCCUGAUUCCCUAGGCUGACAGCCCUUAUUGAAAUGACACUGGGAGUUCUCCUGCAAACAACAUUGUCUGGAUGGAUUAUUUGCAUUCAUCAACAAGUGGUGGCUGAGGUGGGGUGCACAGCAGGAGUGACUUCGACCUUCUCAUUUAUAAAGGAAUUCAGAUAAAGAAAUGGUGAAGUAACCAUGCAAUGACAAAAUGAUCAUCAGCCUCUGUGUUCAAAACUAGCAAGAUGGAUAUAGCUAAAGUCUUUAGCUUUGUUACAGCAUUCAGAUGAAUCAUUUAUAUGUACAUAUGCAAUCUUUGUUUUAUAUAUAUAUUGCAACAUGGUAAUCACAAUGAUGAGUUAAUGGCUGGACCAUAGAAUUUGCUACUUAGAAAGCUGUAAACAGCACAACCACACUACAGUGGGAGUUAGUAUAUAAUUAUUUAUGGAUCCUCCAUCAGUUGUAUUAGCUGCCUGAUCACUAUCUCUCAAUUAAUUUACCAGCCCUAAAUAUAUUGACAUACAUGUGCUGACAGGUAUUUGAGUUUAUAGUCAGCGGGAGCAAUACUAGGAUCUAUGCUAUGGAUCCUCUUUUGAUUGAAAUCCCGAGUAAUAUAUAUUCAAGGCAUCGAAAUAUAUUCAAAGUAUUCUAACACAAAGAUUUUAGUCU
rnacentral:lncRNA from 1 species